rnacentral:rRNA from 1 species
UACGUAGGGGGCAAGCGUUGUCCGGAUUUAUUGGGCGUAAAGAGCGUGUAGGCGGCCAGAUAGGUCCGUUGUGAAAACUGGAGGCUUAACCUCCAGCUGUCGAUGGAAACCAUCUGGCUAGAGUCCGGAAGAGGAGAGUGGAAUUCCUGGUGUAGCGGUGAAAUGCGCAGAUAUCGGGAGGAACACCAGUAGCGAAGGCGGACACUCUGGGCCGGUACUGACGCUGAGGAGCGAAAGCAUGGGGAGCGAACAGG